CGCUCACGGCCCGGGAGAGCCUUACGUCAUGAAGGUGCGGCAUCUCGAUUGGCCGCACGAGGCGUCCAGCCCCCCCUCUCCUCCUGGCCUAUCCGCGCGCGCGCGCGCGCGUAUCUCCUCUCCCUUUUCCCCCGGCGCCGAUGAUUGGCGCGGGCGCGCACGUAGCCAGCCCCGCCCCGCGCACACCGCCCCGCCCCGCCCCGCCCUGUCCACGCUUCCCGGCCCCACCCCGCCUUCCCCAGCGCCCCACCGCGACCUGGGGAAGCGCUGAGAUUCGGCGGACCGCGAACCCCAGCCCCCUCACCCCGUUUCCCAGGCCUCUCCUCUGGCGGUCGGCGUCCCAAGUGGAGGUCCGGGAGCCCCCUGAGCCGGCUGAGGAGAAGGCGGUCAGGUCGCAGGUGCCUUCAGUCUCUCCUCGCUCUCCGGCCUGUCAGCUAUUUUCUCAAAGGUUUCAGGGGGAGUACUGGAAAUUCGGGUAUCUUCCCAAACACGACCUCUUGACCAUUUUGUGGGAAGAAAGAAACAAAAGAAAAACAUGUACACCUUUUUUCAACUUGCUGCCUGAUUUCCUGUAUACCUGCUCUAAUUGAUUAUUGAUGGUGUGUAGACCUACAUAUGAAUUAGGCCAAAUGACAGGAUUUGACCCCUGUUAUGAUGGCUUUCUGGGUUACUCGAUCCAGACUUUCGGUGCACCCAUGCUUCUUAUUGGUUCUUCCUGAUGUAUAUCUACAUUCUGGACUUACGGGAAUCUAUUGGUAGGGUCACAAGAUUGUCAUCAGUGUGGGAUGCUUCCUGCUCUGUGAUGUGUUUUCACAUUCCAGCUCUAAGACACUUGUAAGUUGAAUAAUAAUAUUCACGAUACUGUCUUGAAGGAGAAUAACCACAUAAAGGCUGAUAUUUCUUCUAACACUGACAUCAUUUACAAAUUUUAGGGGGGGCUGGGGGGGAACAACGUUGAAAGCUCACUUUCCAAGAGAACCUGCCUGUUGGAUACAUUGCAGAGCCCUUCUCAGGUGCCUCCUCUAUGCUCAGGUCCACUUGUAACCUUUGAGACUAAGGCCUCUAGGCUUCCUGGUGACAUCAUCCCUGGGCCCAGUGAUGUGGUCUGCCUGUGAGAGACCAGGGAUAAUUCUCUAAAGCUGAUUUAUUACAAGAAGUAUCUGUUGGACAGCUUAGAAAUGGAAUGAGG